CAUCCUCCAAGGCUAAAUACUCCUGACUGACCGAUAGUGAACCAGUACCGUGAGGGAAAGGCGAAAAGAACCCCGGCGAGGGGAGUGAAAAAGAACCUGAAACCGUGUACGUACAAGCAGUGGGAGCACAGGUUUACCUGUGUGACUGCGUACCUUUUGUAUAAUGGGUCAGCGACUUAUAUUCUGUAGCAAGGUUAACCGAAUAGGGGAGCCGGAGGGAAACCGAGUCUUAAUUGGGCGUUAAGUUGCAGGGUAUAGACCCGAAACCCGGUGAUCUAGCCAUGGGCAGGUUGAAGGUUGGGUAACACUAACUGGAGGACCGAACCGACUAAUGUUGAAAAAUUAGCGGAUGACCUGUGGCUGGGGGUGAAAGGCCAAUCAAACCGGGAGAUAGCUGGUUCUCCCCGAAAGCUAUUUAGGUAGCGCCUCGUGAAUUCAUCUCCGGGGGUAGAGCACUGUUUCGGCUAGGGGGCCAUCCCGGCUUACCAACCCGAUGCAAACUGCGAAUACCGGAGAAUGUUAUCACGGGAGACACACGGCGGGUGCUAACGUCCGUCGUGAAGAGGGAAACAACCCAGACCGCCAGCUAAGGUCCCAAAGUCAUGGUUAAGUGGGAAACGAUGUGGGAAGGCCCAGACAGCCAGGAUGUUGGCUUAGAAGCAGCCAUCAUUUAAAGAAAGCGUAAUAGCUCACUGGUCGAGUCGGCCUGCGCGGAAGAUGUAACGGGGCUAAACCAUGCACCGAAGCUGCGGCAGCGA
rnacentral:rRNA from 7 species